UUGACCCCGGAUCAGGUAGGGAUACCCGCUGAACUUAAGCAUAUCAAUAAGCGGAGGA
rnacentral:rRNA from 1 species